rnacentral:rRNA from 1 species
CUACGGAUCGCUGCAGUGAGGAAUAUUGCACAAUGGGGGGAACCCUGAUGCAGCAACGCCGCGUGGAGGAUGACGCAUUUCGGUGUGUAAACUCCUGUUAUAUGUCAAGAAAAUGACGGUAGCAUAUGAAUAAGCACCGGCUAACUCCGUGCCAGCAGCCGCGGUAAUACGGAGGGUGCAAGCGUUACUCGGAAUCACUGGGCGUAAAGGACGCGUAGGCGGGUUGGAAAGUCAGGUGUGAAAUCCUACAGCUUAACCGUAGAACUGCACUUGAAACUUCUAAUCUAGAGUAUGGGAGGGGGAGAUGGAAUUAGUGGUGUAGGGGUAAAAUCCGUAGAUAUCACUAGGAAUACCUAAAGCGAAGGCGAUCUCCUGGAACAUUACUGACGCUAAGGCGUGAAAGCGUGGGGAGCAAACAGGAUUAGAUACCCCUGUAGUC